GAUGAACGCUGGCGGCGUGCUUAACACAUGCAAGUCGAACGAUGAAGGGGGAGCUUGCUCCUCUGGAUUAGUGGCGAACGGGUGAGUAACACGUGAGCAAUCUGCCCCUGACUCUGGGAUAAGCGCUGGAAACGGCGUCUAAUACCGGAUACGAGCCGAGCAGGCAUCUGCAUCGGUUGGAAAGAACUUCGGUCAGGGAUGAGCUCGCGGCCUAUCAGCUUGUUGGUGAGGUAAUGGCUCACCAAGGCGACGACGGGUAGCCGGCCUGAGAGGGUAACCGGCCACACUGGGACUGAGACACGGCCCAGACUCCUACGGGAGGCAGCAGUGGGGAAUAUUGCACAAUGGGCGCAAGCCUGAUGCAGCAACGCCGCGUGAGGGACGAAGGCCUUCGGGUUGUAAACCUCUUUUAGCAGGGAAGAAGCGAGAGUGACGGUACCUGCAGAAAAAGCACCGGCUAACUACGUGCCAGCCGCCGCGGUAAUAC
rnacentral:rRNA from 1 species